CUCUAACACAGCCCUGCUUCCACAGCCUGGCUUUCCCAAGCAGGCAGCUCCUGAAACUUCUCUCAGCUCCAAUUGCUGCGCUCCACCUUUUAUUAUAAUUGAUUCUGCAUCGCCAUAGGAACCCGCUCCAGCGUGAGUGAAGCGCAGCUGCCUUCUCUGUGUGCUCUCCGGGAGACGGGAGGCUGCUCCUUCCCUCGAGAUGGCAAGUGCUGAAGCUGGGAGUAGCUGUGGCUGAGCGGCAGGGCCCCCCGGCCCAUGCCAGCCAGCCCAAGAAAGCUGGACCCUGGAGAUCCUUGUGCAGUGACGUGGCUGUUUGGACACAGCCUGCUCCUGCUCCUGCUGCAAUAGCGAUGCUAGUGCCCCCACGCAGCUGCAGUGAGGAGCUCUUGACCUGUGCAAGAGUGAAUCCCAGGCUCCUCAGCUCAGCUUAGCAGUGCCAGUGGCUAUGGAGUGACCUGUGUGCAGGUGGUGCUCGGGGCGUGUGGGCACAGCAGGAGGCUGGAGCUUGCUGCCUGAGCCUAAAUGCCCCCUGUCCACGCACUCCUUGCAGC
rnacentral:lncRNA from 1 species